UACGUAGGGUGCGAGCGUUAAUCGGAAUUACUGGGCGUAAAGCGUGCGCAGGCGGUGAUGUAAGACAGUUGUGAAAUCCCCGGGCUCAACCUGGGAACUGCAUCUGUGACUGCAUCGCUGGAGUGCGGCAGAGGGGGAUGGAAUUCCGCGUGUAGCAGUGAAAUGCGUAGAUAUGCGGAGGAACACCGAUGGCGAAGGCAAUCCCCGUGGGCCUGCACUGACGCUCAGUGCACGAAAGCGUGGGGAGCAAACAGG
rnacentral:rRNA from 1 species